GCCGCCGUAGCUCAGCGGGAGAGCGCCCGGCUGAUCCGCACACCCAGUGAGGGGUGCGGGGCCACAGACCGGGAGGUCCGGGGUUCGAAUCCCCGCGGCGGCA
rnacentral:tRNA from 1 species